rnacentral:lncRNA from 1 species
CCGAGAGGGGUGGAUUCUCCUGAGGGCCUGCUCUGUUGGCUGCUCCUGGUGACCUUGAAUCUACUUUCUGCUGCUGAGAAUUUACCUAUUUUGGAUGCUUCAUGAGACGAUUCCUCUUAGCAAAAGGGCACUGUGUACCCUCCAAGGCUGGAAAUGAUAGGUUUUCGGCGAGGAGUGAAAAUAUUGUGCUGACAGCCCUUUGCCUGUGUAGAGCAGGGUUGUUUACUCGCGCUGGAGCACAGCUUUAUUGAAGCAGAGAGUCAUGGUCCCAUCAUCAGGGUUGCCUAGCAACCAGUCUACGCCACUCCACAGAGUUUCAGAAUGGGCUGGACCACAAGUACCCACUUUGGGGGAUUUCCAGUGACAGUCCUACUCUCACUCCAUCACAUCGCUUCUAAAAUCUGAGUCACAUGGUUCAAAUUUCACAGUACAAAGUGUGUUCUUCAGAUCUGGGGUUCUCUCCAAAAUGGAUAAUCAUUAUUGAUUUUGUAAUGCAAUGCCAAGACCAUCAGUAAGAAAGAAAAUAAAAGAGACUGAGAAACCACAGAAAUAAAGAAGCGCUGAUGACAAUGCCUGCUUGCUGAUGGUUACGAUGAUCAUAGCAGUGUGCAUUUUGUAUGCAUGAAGCCUGCGACUAAAUAAACGUGUGGGGAAAUAUUUGUAAGGAAAUAAGCUAUUAAUAAAAUAAGCUAAAAUCACAGUUGCUGGACUAUGACUGAUUUUUCCCCUUUCUCUCAUUUAAAAUUAAAUAUUUGUAUGACUUGUAUAAUAGAAAAAUACAUGUAUUCAAUCUUAAAAAGAUAUUCUUAUUUUACACUUUACGGGACAAAA